AAUCUGUGUGUAGGCAUGGAAGCAAACAUCCUCUCUUGGCUUCUGCAGCAAAUUCCAAGUGGCAAUGGAACUUUACCUUCGCUGACUCUUUUGUUUCUUUUUUCCCGUGGAUUCUGUGCUUUUGUUUUUGUUUCUGGUUUUGGUUUUUAUAUAACUCAGAAGUUAUUUCCUAAUGUGCCAGAAAUGUUUGUGAAUUUGGUUUUAUAGCCUAUUUGAUCAUCCUUUUUAGGUGGAGACCUAUUCUGUUGGGUUAGAGAUGACAGAAAAUCUUAUUUGUCGGUUGGUUUGUUUGUUCAAGAAUACACUGACCUUCUACAAGAAAGGAGAGCUCUUUGACACCUCAUAAGUUUACAGAAGCUUGGGACAGCUCUGAAUGGCAACACGGUCCUGAGAUAUGUGAUUACCUGGGACUUUCAUUGGACCUGCAUUUCAGCUCUACUCUCCUCACUGCCCUAUGCUGCUUUGACCCUAAAAGUGAAGCCAGCUUGGCCAGGUGCAGUGACUCACACCUGUAAUCCCAGCACUUUGGGAGGCCGAGGUGGGCAAAUCAAGAAGUCAGGAAAUCGAGACCACCCUGGCCAACAUUGUGAAACACCAUCUCUACUAAAACACAAAAAAAUUAGCCAGGUGUGGUGGCACGCACCUGUAGUCCCAGCUACUCGGGAGGCUGAGGCAGGGGAAUCACUUGAACCCGUGAGGAGGAAAUUGCAGCGAGCCAAGAUCGCGCCACUGCACCCCAGCCUGGGCGACAGAGAGAGACUCCAUCUCAAAAACAAAACAAAACAAAACAAAAAAAACAAAAAGUGAAGCCAACUCAAUUGUCUCAUAGAACUGAUCUUUACGGUGUUUUUAAAUAAACAUAGAAAUUGGCCCUCCCAGUCUUAAAACUUCAAAAACUUACAUUUGUCUUACCUCAGUUCCUUUCUCAGGAAUCCAAUCAUCAAGGCUCCCAGAUAGUAUCAAUGAACGGAAACUUACCAGAUCACGAUAUCUGGACAAUGAGAUGUCAGAUCCCCCUCAUCCAUCCUGAUUACCUAACUGACUACCUGCUUCCUGUUGGCCAACUACUCUUCCUUACCCCUCCCUAAUUCUUGUUUUCCCACAAAUGGUUACAUUUCUGUCCUGCUAUAGAAGCCCUUAAUUUUAAUUGGUCGAGGAGAUGGAUUUGAGACUGAUUUUUUGCUCUCCUUGGCUGUUGCACCUGAAUAGCCUUUUUCCCUGGCAAUACUUUUUGUCUCAGUGAUUGGCUUUCUGUGCAGUGAGCAAUGGGACCAAACUUCUGGUGUUUUGGUAACAAAUUUUGGUUUCCUGACUGUGAAUGCAUUGCUUGUGACUCAGCUGCCAUGAGCUGGGAGAGUUUCAAAAGCCCUCUAAGCAGCUACCUGACCAUUUUGGCCAGAGGUGGAUUUUCGUCUCUCCCCAUUUGGGCCCACUUCUGCCAACCCCAACCAUGUUCCUGAUUGCCUAGGAAGAACAGCCUUUGAAAUUUGACGUCUAUGUACAGAAAGAGGAAAAAAAGUAUCAACAGCAACUUAAGCCCACUGGAUGGAUUUAAGGUUCUCCUACAUUCCCA
rnacentral:lncRNA from 1 species